CUCCUAUCGACAGCAUAUAAGAGCUCCUGCUGCUCUUCGUCUUCAGUAGUACUUAUAUUUUCAGACUAAAAUUUUUGCCAAUCUGCUCUGAUUGGAAGUAAGUCAGUAUUAGCAGUGUUGUUAAAAUCUCCACCAUGAAGAUCCAUGUGGGUGCUUGGAGUCUUACAAUAGAAAAGAAUGAAUGCAUUCCUUCAUAUUAAAAGACACUAAAAAGUAAUGGCAGAUGAAAUGUGGUCACGUUGAGCAGCUGCUCA